UACGUAGGGUGCAAGCGUUGUCCGGAAUUAUUGGGCGUAAAGAGCUCGUAGGCGGUCAGUCGCGUCUGCUGUGAAAACUCGGGGCUUAACUCCGGGCCUGCAGUGGGUACGGGCUGACUAGAGUGCGGUAGGGGAGACUGGAAUUCCUGGUGUAGCGGUGAAAUGCGCAGAUAUCAGGAGGAACACCGAUGGCGAAGGCAGGUCUCUGGGCCACUACUGACGCUGAGAAGCGAAAGCAUGGGGAGCGAACAGG
rnacentral:rRNA from 1 species